AAUAAUAGAAUUCCUAAUUACUAGCCAUACUAAACUUCCUAAUUUUACAUAAAAUAUAAUUCCUAAAUUGUACUAGGAUCUUCAUCUUCCCAUUUUGCAUUAUAAUUAGAAAUAACAUCACAUUCCAUCAUUGGGCCAUUUCAAAUCAACAAUUAUGUGAUACAGACUCCGACACUUGUCAACUAGAAGGAGGCAUUGUACACCACAAUAUGCUUAUGCAUAGCAUCAUAACUUCCAAGUCCAAGUCCAGGUAAUUCUACUAUUGAUUCAAUUGGAAAGCCACAAUAAUAGCUUAAUUGAACAUUUAAUAUGUGGUUCUAAAUAAUUCUAGAAGUUCAAACAGUUGGCAAUAGCUAGCAUUCAUGAGAAGCAAGCCCAAGUAAGUUCAGGUCUAACCUGCUAAGUGUAGUCAAAAGCGCAAAAAGCGCAAUGACAAAUAGAAUAGAACUUUUACAUAUGCAAAGCGAAGCGCAUUUAAUGAAGCGAUGGCUUUUUGCGAUUAAAGCGCAAAGUGCAAGAAAAAGAAAAAAGGUGCAAAGCGAAGGAGCCUCAACUUCAAGGUCAAAGUAUGAAGAUUUUGAGAUUUAGAUGAAGAUAUUAAUGAAAAUGGAUUUUAGUUUGGAGAUGAGAAUGAAAGUGUUGAAGACUUUUAUGGCAAAUCUAGUGAGUAUCUCUAGGUUAUGACUAUGAAUU
rnacentral:misc_RNA from 1 species